UUGACAGCCCUGGAAAUUGAACCUCUUUAUUUAUUGACAGCCCAUAUACAGCAUAGGCAGUGCAAGUUUCCUUCACUGCUGAGCCACCAUGCUUUUUACCUGGACAGAAAAAAACACUUUUCCUAAAGGAAAUAGAAUUUAUUCACCAGAUCCAGUUGUUUUUUGGAUUAU
rnacentral:sRNA from 14 species